CCGCCAGACUCCUACGGGAGGCAGCAGUGGGGAAUAUUGCACAAUGGGGGAAACCCUGAUGCAGCGACGCCGCGUGAGUGAAGAAGUAUUUCGGUAUGUAAAGCUCUAUCAGCAGGGAAGAAGAUGACGGUACCUGACCAAGAAGCCCCGGCUAACUACGUGCCAGCAGCCGCGGUAAUACGUAGGGGGCAAGCGUUAUCCGGAUUUACUGGGUGUAAAGGGAGCGCAGACGGCAGUGCAAGUCUGGAGUGAAAACCCGGGGCUCAACCCCGGGACUGCAUUGGAAACUGUCAGGCUAGAGUGUCGGAGAGGCAAGUGGAAUUCCUAGUGUAGCGGUGAAAUGCGUAGAUAUUAGGAGGAACACCGGUGGCGAAGGCGGCCUGCUGGACUGUGACUGACGUUGAGGCCCGAAGGCGUGGGGAGCAAACAGGAUUAGAUACCCUUGUA
rnacentral:rRNA from 1 species